rnacentral:rRNA from 1 species
CAGCAGCAGCCGCGGGAAUACGGAGGGUGCAAGCGUUAAUCGGAAUUACUGGGCGUAAAGCGCACGCAGGCGGUCUGACAAGUCAGAUGUGAAAUCCCCGGGCUUAACCUGGGAACUGCAUUUGAAACUGUCAGGCUGGAGUCUUGUAGAGGGGGGUGGAAUUCCAGGUGUAGCGGUGAAAUGCGUAGAGAUCUGGAGGAAUACCGGUGGCGAAGGCGGCCCCCUGGACAAAGACUGACGCUCAGGUGCGAAAGCGUGGGGAGCAAACAGGAUUAGAUACCCCUGUAGUCCCUGUCUCUUAUAC